rnacentral:rRNA from 1 species
GACGAACGCUGGCGGCGUGCUUAACACAUGCAAGUCGAACGGUAAGGCCCUUCGGGGUACACGAGUGGCGAACGGGUGAGUAACACGUGGGUGAUCUACCCUGCACUUCGGGAUAAGCCUGGGAAACUGGGUCUAAUACCGGAUAGGACCACUGCCUGCAUGGGUGGUGGUGGAAAGCUUUUGCGGUGUGGGAUGGGCCCGCGGCCUAUCAGCUUGUUGGUGGGGUGAUGGCCUACCAAGGCGACGACGGGUAGCCGGCCUGAGAGGGUGACCGGCCACACUGGGACUGAGAUACGGCCCGGGCUCCUACGGGAGGCAGCAGUGGGGAAUAUUGCCCCCUGGGCGCAAGCCUGAUGCAGCGACGCCGCGUGAGGGUUCCCUUCCUUCGGGUUGUCAACCUCUUUCCUCCCCGACGAAGCGCAAGUGACGGUAGGUGCAGAAGAAGGACCGGCCAACUACAUGCCAGCCGCCGCCGUAA